GACUUUCGCACAUCCACUGAGGUGAAACAUGAAGACUGAUCUUCUCCAGCUUCUUGUUUUUACAUUUCAUCACAAAUUGCCCUUCAUCCUACAUGUGUUUCUGAUUACUAUUGUCCAGGACAGAGAGACCUCAGAGCCUUUGGCAAUCAGCAUUUUUACAGCGGUGCAGGAGUCAAUCAGAAUCAAGGGAAGAGGUUGGAUGGUGGAAGGAAAAGAAUUUUUAAUGAACAACAAAAGAGGAAUUCAAGCUGCACAUAUUCAGCAACUAAGGCCUUUUCAUUGCAUCAAUGGAUGAACUUAUAGAUCAAAGGCUUUUAAGUGUCAUGGAAAUGAGGUCUCUCUUCUAGUCUGAUCUGACCUUCCCUUCUGACCAGCUGUCAUCUUCAGAAGUUCUUCCCAGGUUAAAGAUUUGGUCACAAUGAAGACUGGGGGUUUCUUUUUGUUUGUUUGUUUUGUUUUCCUUUUCUGAAACAAUCUUAUACCUACUGGGUUUACUUUACUGGUCAUGAUGGUCCUUUGCAGUGGCAGCAAUAUGAGAUAAACAAACACUGCUUCUUUGUAUCUCUUCUGAGUGGGAAUUUCUACACUACGAUUAAAUAUUUUCCUUCUGCAUUGAUGGCA